rnacentral:tRNA from 1 species
GCAAGGAUAGCUCAGUUGGUAGAGCACCAGUAUAAAAAAUGCGUAACGUCCCCCUCCCCCAGUUGCGCUAACAGCUAUGUAAAAAGGGAACUGAUUGUCGUGGGUUCGAGUCCCACUCCUUGCA